UACGAAGGGGGCUAGCGUUGCUCGGAAUCACUGGGCGUAAAGCGCACGUAGGCGGCUUUCUAAGUCAGGGGUGAAAUCCUGGAGCUCAACUCCAGAACUGCCUUUGAUACUGGGAGCUCGAGUCCGGAAGAGGUGAGUGGAACUCCGAGUGUAGAGGUGAAAUUCGUAGAUAUUAGGAAGAACACCAGUGGCGAAGGCGGCUCACUGGCCCGGUACUGACGCUGAGGCGCGAAAGCGUGGGGAGCAAACAGG
rnacentral:rRNA from 1 species